rnacentral:tRNA from 1 species
AGAUUAAAAGGUAAAACA